GUUCCUUCAACGAGGCGAGUAGCAAGUAGAGGUCGCACACGACUUGAGCGGAUCGAGCAAGGCAUUUUAGUUUCACACAUUCACCAAAUAAAAAACAUGGCUUCGAUGCGGUACUUCGUCCUCGUGGCGCUAUUGGGCUUCGCUGCUGUGGCGAAUGCAGCUAACGCUGUGCGACCAACGAACAUGCAGGGCAUGAUCGAUGAAGAGAAUGCCAAAUGUGAGAGUGGGGCUGAUUCGAUGGCCUGCAUUAAGGUGCGCGCUAUGCGUUUCCUCGAUACAGUGAUCAACAACGAUAACUACAAAUUCGGCGAUGUAGAGGUCCACUCGAAUGGCUAUCAACCUGCUGCCGCCGAUGCCAAUAGCGCACGCUCCAACGACGAAGAACGCGAUUUAGUCGAUGCUGUCGGCGAUUACCUGCAGGGACACGAUGUUACCAUGGACUUGCCUCUGGGUGAUGCCAAGGUCACCGUCUCUUCACGCAAUUUGGCCAACGAUGAGUUGAGCCUUAAUGUGAAAUUGGCCGGUGAUGGUGUGGUUGAGGGCAAGGGUAAGAAGGGCAACUUCUUCAAGAAGGGCAAGAAGCACCGUUUGCGUAAAAUGAUUAUGCCAUUGAUGGUGCUGAUCCUAUUGAAGGCGAUGACUGUCAUCCCAAUGGCCAUUGGUAUACUGAAGAUUAAGGCAUUCAAUGCGCUGGCGUUGGGCUUCUUCUCAUUCAUUGUGUCGGCUGUCGUGGGAUGUUAAUUACAUUGGCACGAUGUACUGCCCUAAAAUCAGAAAAAAAACUAAAAAAAAAAUGCAUUCAUAAUAAAUAUUUAUCUCUAUCGAGAGAGUUGUAGCAAAAUCGCGGGCAAACAAUUUGUGGACAGAAGGUAUUUUGCUAAGUUGUAAUGUUUGUUUUGGAUCGCCGCUGAACACCAUUCUGCACACAUCACUGCCCACGGCCCCUGGGAUGGUCGAGCCAUUGGCGUAUCUGCUGCCGUCAACGAAC
rnacentral:misc_RNA from 1 species